rnacentral:tRNA from 1 species
AGUAAGAUGUCUGAAAAAAAGAAUAGCUUUGAUAGAGCUAAGCAUGUAGAGUUGUCUACUCUUACUA